UUGACCUAUUGUGGCAAGCUGAGCAGCAAGCCAGCAGCAUCUUCUGAAAAUGAUGAGGAAGCUGCCUCUAAUUUCCACCCCCAAGCCCCAGCCUCGUCCUCCUCCUGUUGCUUCCCGCUCUCCCCACCCCAUCCGGCUUCCUCCCCUGUCUCCCCACUCUUCCAGCCCUCGGUCUCCUCUCCAGCUCAAUGUGACCCUCUCCUCCCUGUGUCCCACCCGUUUCCCAUCUCUGACUAAUAAUGUCCCUUCCCACUACCAUCCCUUGAGGGUCUCCUCGUCGAACUCUUCCUUUGUUCCUGCCACUCACGGCCAGGAACCAAGGGAAAAACACCCAGAGACAUGUGCACGGAAGCCAAAAAACUGGAAGAGUUUCAGAGCCUUUGAGUAAAGGCCUGGUUCUCCUGGGUGCAAAGUAAGCAUGUGGACAUGCUACAUGACAGACUUCCAGGACAUCACCUGGCAAGCUCAGCAUGAGUGACAGGAAGGACAAGUACAGCUGGCCCAGCCAGGCAGCCCUGCACAGACCUCCCAGGCCUUGCAGAUAAGAGACUACUUUUGUAUUGGUUACAAGAGGCCUCCAGAUGCUGUAGAACUUCUCACCAUUGUAAACUUGGGAACAAUGCCAUUGCAUGGUGCUGGUGGCAUAGUAAGUGUGUCCCCCUCCAAAAAAAAUGGAUCCAAAUAUUGUGGAACCUUGCUAGUGUAAUAAAGCUGGAGUUCCAGAAUGACAUGGUUGGCACAGAAGAGCCUGGAUUAGCCCUAACGUGUGGCUCCCUACACUGGGGGGAAAUUUUGGAUGGUUCUGUGGCUUUUAAAAUGUUUUUCUCAGAGUAUUAAAUGUUCUGUUAAAUGCAUAAGAAAUAUAAAGCACAAAACUAGAAAAUAAAAAGAAUAAAGAUAUUGAUUAACUUCA